AUUGAACGCUGGCGGCAGGCCUAACACAUGCAAGUCGAGCGGAUGAAGGGAGCUUGCUCCUGGAUUCAGCGGCGGACGGGUGAGUAAUGCCUAGGAAUCUGCCUGGUAGUGGGGGAUAACGUCCGGAAACGGGCGCUAAUACCGCAUACGUCCUGAGGGAGAAAGUGGGGGAUCUUCGGACCUCACGCUAUCAGAUGAGCCUAGGUCGGAUUAGCUAGUUGGUGGGGUAAAGGCCUACCAAGGCGACGAUCCGUAACUGGUCUGAGAGGAUGAUCAGUCACACUGGAACGGAGAAACGGUCCAGACUCCUACGGGAGGCAGCAGUGGGGAAUAUUGGACAAUGGGCGAAAGCCUGAUCCAGCCAUGCCGCGUGUGUGAAGAAGGUCUUCGGAUUGUAAAGCACUUUAAGUUGGGAGGAAGGGCAGUAAGUUAAUACCUUGCUGUUUUGACGUUACCAACAGAAUAAGCACCGGCUAACUUCGUG
rnacentral:rRNA from 1 species